rnacentral:rRNA from 1 species
GGGACAACCCCUGGAAACGGGGGCUAAUACCGGAUAGGCGGGAACGUGAAAGAUUUAUCGCCUGAAGAGGAGCUCGCGUCUGAUUAGCUAGUUGGUAGGGUAAAAGCCUACCAAGGCAACGAUCAGUAGCUGGUCUGAGAGGAUGACCAGCCACACUGGGACUGAGACACGGCCCAGACCCCUACGGGAGGCAGCAGUGGGGAAUUUUCCGCAAUGGGCGAAAGCCUGACGGAGCAAGACCGCGUGAGGGAGGAAGGCUCUUGGGUUGUAAACCUCUUUUCCCAGGGAAGAACACAAUGACGGUACCUGAGGAAUCAGCCUCGGCUAACUCCGUGCCAGCAGCCGCGGUAAUACGGAGGAGGCAAGCGUUA